rnacentral:rRNA from 1 species
CUUUGCGCCGAAAAUGUAACGGGGCUCAAGCCAUACACCGAAGCUUAGGGUUCGUAGCAAUACGAGCGGUAGCGGAGCGUUCUGUAAGCUGAUGAAGCCAUACCCGUGAGGGGUGGUGGAGGUAUCAGAAGUGCGAAUGCUGACAUGAGUAACGUAAGGGGAGUGAGAGACUCCCCCGCCGAAAGUCCAAGGGUUCCUGCUUAAAGCUAAUCUGAGCAGGGUUAGCCGGCCCCUAAGUCGAGGCAGAAAUGCGUAGACGAUGGGAACCACGUUAAUAUUCGUGGGCCUGGAGGAAGUGACGGAUCAUUGAGGUAGUCCAAUCUUAUCGGAUUGAACGGGCUGCUGCGUGGUUCCAGGAAAUAGCUCCUCCUUAUAGACCGUACCCGAAACC